AAAAAGAUUACUUUAUUAAGCCCCUGUAUUUCUGAGUUAGGAGACUGAAAGUCAGAUUUAAUGGUUAAAUCUCAAGCCUAGCUCUCUGUUGAGAUCUCUGCUAGCAACUUCCAGUACUGUAGAUGGAAACGAUAUGUGUCUUUGAGCAAAUAUUUUCCCAAAGUUCCUUCAUAUUCCCCCGAGGGAAUAAAUAGUUGCUGUGUUGGGUUGGUGUGAAUUCUGGCAAAGUGCUUCCAAAUAAAGCCAGCUCUGCUUUGUGACUUUCUUACUGUAUCCAUCUCUUGGCAGCUAUGCCUCCGUGGACUUCAUCAGUUAUUAUAUAAAGUGAGCCCUCAAAGCACUGGGGAGAUCUGUUUCUGAGGAGUGUGACAGUCAGUCCUGCUGAGUUGACACUUGCUUCUUUGGCUGUGAUUCUGGGUAUUUGACACCAAGGGGACUCCUGAUUUUAUGUGUGGAGAGGCAGAAUUGAUGAAACGUCAGUGUUCGGGGGAGUAUAUAGGCAAUUCUUUUCUUCUCUUCCUCCAGCAGUUUAGGGUUUUUAGAAUUUGAGAAUUUUCAAGUCAAACUUUAUUGAUUCCUCAUUAUUUUACCUAUUUAUUUGUGCUAAUGUACUGUGAAUCAAUACAGUAAUUAUUGCAGGGCUUAGUUGGAAGAACGUUUCUCUCUGUGAGCUUGUUUUUGAAGUGCCUUCUUAUAUAGCAGAGGACUCCCUUAAUGAAGGCAGUGGUCUAGAUAAAUUGCUUACAUCUCUCCCGUAACUCACCCCCCUCAAAAA
rnacentral:lncRNA from 1 species